CCAGACUCCUACGGGAGGCAGCAGUGAGGAAUAUUGGUCAAUGGGCGGGAGCCUGAACCAGCCAAGUCGCGUGAGGGAAGACGGUCCUACGGAUUGUAAACCUCUUUUGCCGGGGAGCAACGGGGUCCUUGCGAGGGCCCGAUGAGAGUACCCGGAGAAAAAGCAUCGGCUAACUCCGUGCCAGCAGCCGCGGUAAUACGGAGGAUGCGAGCGUUAUCCGGAUUUAUUGGGUUUAAAGGGUGCGUAGGCGGGCUGUUAAGUCAGCGGUGAAAUGUCGGGGCUCAACCCCGGCCUGCCGUUGAAACUGGGGGCCUUGAGUGGGCGAGAAGAAGGCGGAAUGCGUGGUGUAGCGGUGAAAUGCAUAGAUAUCACGCAGAACGCCGAUUGCGAGGGCAGCUUACCGGCGCUCAACUGACGCUGAGGCACGAAAGUGCGGGUAUCGAACAGGAUUAGAUACCCUCGUAC
rnacentral:rRNA from 1 species